CAUGUCUAGUCCAUCACCGUGUUCAGCACCGGCACUGUUUCAUUGAUUGUUCCCCUUUUAGACUCUAAGGGACGCUGUUGGUCAGCAAAACAUUUUCUGUGCUUCGUUGUCAUCUAGUCCACCCCACCCCCGUCUGACUACAUAAUACAGAGGACUCUGGGUUUUAUCGAGGUUUAGGUGAUGCCGUCUCAUAGAUUCUCAUAUGAAGGUUGAAAACGUGUUCUUAGGCUGCCACAGCAAGGAUUUAUAGGAACCACUUUCACCAAAACUUUUUUGGAUACACAGACACAGAUUUUUUGUUCUUUGUUGCUAUGAUGGCAGUUGCGGGAUUUGUCUUCGACAAAUGCGCAAGAUGGCGAGUAUUUCAAGGACUGCUACGGAAAUUACAAAUGCUGCUUUUCCUGCUGUUUGUUGCUAACGUGGUUGAUGGUCAGAUUCGUUAUUCUAUACCAGAGGAGAUGAAGAAAGGCUCUGUUAUCGGUAAUGUGGCUCAAGAUCUCGGGUUGGAUCUGAGAAGGCUCCGUGCAGGGCGGGCCCGUAUCGUGAGUGGAGAAAACAUCCAGUACACCGAGCUGAAGACAGACAAAGGGACUCUGGUCGUGAAUGAGAGAAUUGACCGAGAGCAGCUCUGUGGAGACACGACUCCGUGUAGCUUCAGCUUUGAGAUGAUUUUAGAGAAUCCAAUGGAGUUACACAGAAUAACUGUCGAGGUUUUGGACAUAAAUGAUCACGCUCCUGUAUUCCCUGAUAAUGAUAAGCCUAUCCGUGUUGAAAUUAGUGAAUCGGCUGCAAUCGGGGUCCGAUUUCCACUGCAGAGUGCAGACGAUUUUGAUGUCGGACAAAACGCUUUACAAGAUUACAUUUUAUCAGCCAACGACAAUUUUAUACUGAAGCAACAUGCGAAUCCAGACGGAAAUAAAUAUGUUGAAAUGGUGCUCCAGAAGCCUUUAGACCGAGAGCGACAUCCACACUUGUCGUUAAAACUGAUCGCAGUCGACGGAGGAACACCACAGAGAUCUGGUACAGUAAAUAUAGAAAUCACUGUCUUAGAUGCGAACGACAAUAUUCCGAUUUUUAACCAAUCCGUGUAUAAAGCCUCUGUGUUUGAAAACACAAUGAAGGGCACAAGAGUUAUAACAGUAAAUGCCACAGACGCUGACAGUGGUUCAAAUGGAGUCAUCACUUACAGUUUGUCCAAGAAGAAAGGCAGUGCGUCAGAUUUUUUUAUCAUAAAUGAAAAAACAGGCACUAUAUCUGUUAAUGGUCCCAUAGAUUAUGAAAAGGACAGAAAGUACGAGGUGAGAGUGGAGGCGAGGGAUCAAGGUGGAUUAACAGGAACAAGUAAAGUUAUAUUUGAUGUUUUUGAUGUUAACGACAAUGCUCCAGUGAUCAACAUUAUGUCGUUUUCUAGUCCUGUAUCUGAAGAUGCUCCUCCUGGUACAACGAUUGCUAUUUUGAAUAUCAAAGAUGCAGAUUCUGAUAAAAAUGGACAAAUAAAAUGUUCAGUGGAAGGAAAACUGCCUUUCAAAAUCGUCUCAUCUCUGACAAACUAUUAUAAUUUGAUCUCAGAUCAACAUUUUGAUAGAGAAUCUGUCUCAGAAUAUAACAUCACAAUAACAGCCACUGAUUUCGGUUCUCCGCCUCUUUCCACCUCCACAAAAUUGCACCUUAAGAUUUCUGACGUAAAUGACAACGCGCCAUUAUUUGACAAAACAAUUUACUCUGGUUACAUCGCAGAAAAUAAUCCACCUGGAGUAUCCAUAUUUACAGUCAGCGCCAGAGACUCAGAUUGGGGCCAAAACGCAAGAAUCUCGUAUAUUUUAGAGGAUACACAGGUCAGUGGAAGUCCAGUCUCGACUUAUGUGAGUUUAAACUCUGAAACUGGAGUUCUCAGCGCAGUUCGUUCUCUUGAUUAUGAGCAAAUCAAAUAUCUUCAGCUGGUAGUCAAAGCUCAGGAUGGAGGCUCCCCUCCACUCAGCAGCAACGUGACAGUGAAAAUAGUGAUCCAGGACCAGAACGACAACCCCCCUCAGGUCCUGUACCCGGUCCAGACUGGUGGCUCUCUGGUGGCUGAGAUGGUGCCUCGUGCAGCAGAUGUGGGCUAUCUGGUGACUAAAGUGGUGGCUGUGGAUGUGGACUCUGGACAGAAUGCCUGGCUGUCGUAUAAACUGCAGAAAGCCACAGACAGGGCGCUGUUUGAAGUGGGCUUACAGAAUGGAGAAAUCCGAACUAUCCGCCAAGUGAGUGAUAAAGAUGCUGUGAAACAAAGACUGACUGUGAUAGUGGAGGACAACGGGCAGCCGUCUCGUUCAGCUACAGUCAUCGUGAACGUGGCGGUGGCGGACAGCUUCCCUGAAGUGCUGUCAGAGUUCACUGACUUUACACACGACAAGGAGUACAAUGACAACCUGACUUUUUACUUAGUGCUGGCUUUGGCUGUAGUGUCCUUCCUCUUCAUCACGUGUUUGGUGGUCAUUAUAUCCGUGAAAAUCUACAGAUGGAGACAGUCUCGUAUCCUGUAUCACUCCAGUCUUCCAGUGAUUCCCUAUUAUCCUCCACGUUACUCAGACACUCUGGGCACAGGGACUCUUCCACACGUGUACAAUUACGAGGUGUGCAGGACGACUGACUCGAGAAAGAGUGACUGUAAGUUCGGCAGAGCUGGUAGUCAGAACGUGCUGAUAAUGGACCCCAGUUCUACAGGGACCAUGCAGAGGAUACAGAGUGAGAAGAGCAUCCUGGAUGAGCCAGACUCUCCACUGGAGGUAUUUAAAACUUGACAUUUGGCAUUGUUUUUUUUUAUCCAUAUAGAUUGGUUGAUUGCAGUUGACAUCUUAAACUUUACAUUUAGCACCAUGGAUAACGCCCUCUCUGACCGUAGGUCAUGGUAAUUUUUGUCAGCCCCUGAAAGCUGCUAUAUUCAAAAGAUAAUAUUUCGACGUCAUGGUUUAUUGUCAGGUCAUAACCAUUUAAAUACAUUUUGUCCCUAUCUUUAUUGGUAUUUACGUUUUUAAGUUUGAUCAGCUCGUUCUUUUUGAUUCAGUUUGAGACCCUGGAAUCUGAAACGUAAGGGAAGAAUUUUUAAGGUGUUGCAGCUGAGAGUUAAGAUCAUAUAUAACUUCUUCAACCCGUAUUUAGCUCUGCUGCGUCAUCUUCAAAUGUACAUUUCUAACUUAUGAUUAAUACCAAAGUACGUCAGUGUAAAUGAUAUAUUAUUGGUAUGAGCUUUUUAAGCUAAGUCUGACAUGAAGAAAAAUGCAACAAAUGAGAGGCCAAAUAUAAUAUGAAUCAAAAUUGGGUUACUUCAGUAAAAAAAAGAACUUAGUUUUAAACCAUGAAAACUACUUUGGCAAUAAUUUCAUGUAUAAACAGGGUAGAGUGCAGCAGAUAACGAAUAGCAUGCAAAAAUAAAGGUAAGAGGAAAGGAUAAGAAGAGUAAUAGUUCACAUGCAAGUGAAAGUAAUAGAGCUUUUGAUGAUAGUGAUUAUAACACUUCUCAAUCUUGUUAGAAAUUAUUUAUUCAUAUCGCCUUUCACAUCUUAUUCCUUAUUUUCAUUAUGAGUGAGACACCACAUAGUUUUCUAACCGCAAUGGCAGUCACCUAUUAAAUACAAAAAUACUACACUUAAAAGCAAAUUAAUGUGUUGUCGUAUAACUACAGCACUGCACUUGCAUCAUGGCAACUUGGAAGAUGUGUUCUUGAUGUUCAGAUUUCUCGCAUUGUCCAUUCAGUUGGAUUAUUUGUUUUAAAAUGUUGGCAUUUAUCGUGCUGAUUAACUGUUAAUGUGGACUUUGGUCUUUAAAACCCUUAAGGUCAAUUCUUGGUUAUCAGUAUUGAUCACCGGAUAUCGACGGACUCUUUAUUGAGUCUAAAUGACAGUACCGCGCUCUUGGCUGCACGUGAAUUUCUCAUUCUAGACUCUAAGGGACGCUGUUGGUCAGCAAAACAUUUUCGUCGUGUCGUCAUCCAGUCCAUCCUCCCUCUGAUACCAAAGGCUCUCUGUGUUUUAUGCGGUUUAAACGUUGUAGGAGAGAGCACAGUCUCACAGAUUUUCAUGUGACAUUCGAAGACGAGAUCGUAUUUUGACAGGAUAAGGAUUUAAAGGAACCAGUUUCACCAUCAUUUCCUUUUUUCUUUGUUGCUAUGAUGGCAGUUGAAGGAUCUCUCUUCGACAAAUGCGCAAGAUGGCGAGUAUUUCAAGGACUGCUACGGAAAUUACAAAUGCUUCUUUUCCUGCUGUGUGUUGCUAACGUAGUUGAUGGUCAGAUUCGUUAUUCUAUACCAGAGGAGAUGAAGAAAGGCUCUGUUAUCGGUAAUGUGGCUCAAGACCUUGGUUUGGAUCUGAGAAGGCUCCGUUCAGGGCGGGCCCGUAUCGUGAGUGGAGAAAACAUCCAGUACACCGAGCUGAAGACAGACAAAGGGACUCUGGUCGUGAAUGAGAGGAUAGACCGAGAGCAGCUCUGUGGAGACACGACUCCGUGUAGCUUCAGCUUUGAGGUGAUUUUAGAGAAUCCAAUGGAAUUACACAGAAUAACUGUCGAGGUUUUGGACAUAAAUGACCACGCUCCUGUUUUCCCUGAUAAUGAUAAGCCUAUCCGUUUCGAAAUUAGUGAAUCAGCAGUAACCGGGGUCAAAUUUCCUCUGUCGAGUGCAGAAGAUUUUGAUGUCGGACAAAACGCUUUACAAGAUUACAUUUUGUCAACCAACGACAAUUUUAUAUUGAAGCAACAUGCAAAUCCCGACGGAAGUAAAUAUGUAGAAAUGGUGCUCCAGAAGCCUUUAGACCGAGAGCGACAUCCACACUUGUCUCUGAAACUGAUCGCAGUCGACGGAGGAACACCACAGAGAUCUGGUACAGUAAAUAUAGAAAUCACUGUCUUAGAUGCGAACGACAACGCUCCAGUUUUUAACCAAUCCGUGUAUAAAGCCUCUGUGUUUGAAAACACAAUGAAGGGCACGAGAGUUAUAACAGUAAAUGCGACGGACGCUGAUAGUGGUUCAUACGGAGCCAUCACUUAUAGUUUGUCCAAGACGAAAGGCAGUGCGGCAGAUAAUUUUAUUAUUAAUGAGAAAACAGGAACUAUAUCCGUAAAUGGUCCCCUAGAUUAUGAAAAAGAAAGAAAGUACGAAAUAAGAGUGGAAGCAAGGGAUCAAGGUGGUUUAACAGAAACAAGUAAAGUUAUAUUUGAUGUUUUUGAUGUUAAUGACAAUGCUCCAGUGAUAAACAUUAUGUCGUUUUCUAGUCCUGUAUCUGAAGAUGCUCCUCCUGGUACAACGAUUGCUAUUUUGAAUAUCAAAGAUGCGGAUUCUGAUAAAAAUGGACAAAUAAAAUGUUCAGUGGAUGGGAAACUACCAUUUAAGAUUGAAUCAUCUCUGACAAACUAUUAUAAUUUGAUCUCAGAUCAACAUUUUGAUAGAGAAUCUGUCUCAGAAUAUAACAUCACAAUAACAGCCACUGAUUUCGGUUCUCCGCCUCUUUCCACCUCCACAAAAUUGCACCUAAAGAUUUCUGACGUAAAUGACAACGCGCCAUUAUUUGACAAAACAAUUUACUCUGCUUAC
rnacentral:lncRNA from 1 species